GACGAACGCUGGCGGCGUGCUUAACACAUGCAAGUCGAACGGAAAGGCCCUGCUUUUGUGGGGUGCUCGAGUGGCGAACGGGUGAGUAACACGUGAGUAACCUGCCCUUGACUUUGGGAUAACUUCAGGAAACUGGGGCUAAUACCGGAUAGGAGCUCCUGCUGCAUGGUGGGGGUUGGAAAGUUUCGGCGGUUGGGGAUGGACUCGCGGCUUAUCAGCUUGUUGGUGGGGUAGUGGCUUACCAAGGCUUUGACGGGUAGCCGGCCUGAGAGGGUGACCGGCCACAUUGGGACUGGGAUACGGCCAAGACUCCUACGGGAGGCAGCAGUGGGGAAUAUUGCACAAUGGGCGGAAGCCUGAUGCAGCAACGCCGCGUGCGGGAUGACGGCCUUCGGGUUGUAAACCGCUUUCGCCUGUGACGAAGCGUGAGUGACGGUAAUGGGUAAAGAAGCACCGGCUAACUAC
rnacentral:rRNA from 1 species